AGUGAACGCUGGCGGUAGGCCUAACACAUGCAAGUCGAACGGCAGCACAGUAAGAGCUUGCUCUUACGGGUGGCGAGUGGCGGACGGGUGAGGAAUACAUCGGAAUCUACUUUUUCGUGGGGGAUAACGUAGGGAAACUUACGCUAAUACCGCAUACGACCUACGGGUGAAAGCAGUGGAUCUUCGGACCUUGCGCGAUUGAAUGAGCCGAUGUCGGAUUAGCUAGUUGGCGGGGUAAAGGCCCACCAAGGCGACGAUCCGUAGCUGGUCUGAGAGGAUGAUCAGCCACACUGGAACUGAGACACGGUCCAGACUCCUACGGGAGGCAGCAGUGGGGAAUAUUGGACAAUGGGCGCAAGCCUGAUCCAGCCAUACCGCGUGGGUGAAGAAGGCCUUCGGGUUGUAAAGCCCUUUUGUUGGGAAAGAAAAGCGGCAGGUUAAUACCCCGCUGUUCUGACGGUACCCAAAGAAUAAGCACCGGCUAACUUCGUG
rnacentral:rRNA from 1 species